rnacentral:rRNA from 1 species
CUACGGGGCGCUGCAGUGAGGAAUAUUGCACAAUGGGGGGAACCCUGAUGCAGCAACGCCGCGUGGAGGAUGACGCAUUUCGGUGUGUAAACUCCUUUUAUAUGUCAAGAAAAUGACGGUAGCAUAUGAAUAAGCACCGGCUAACUCCGUGCCAGCAGCCGCGGUAAUACGGAGGGUGCAAGCGUUACUCGGAAUCACUGGGCGUAAAGGACGCGUAGGCGGGUUGGAAAGUCAGGUGUGAAAUCCUACAGCUUAACUGUAGAACAGCACUUGAAACUUCUAAUCUAGAGUAUGGGAGGGGGAGAUGGAAUUAGUGGUGUAGGGGUAAAAUCCGUAGAUAUCACUAGGAAUACCUAAAGCGAAGGCGAUCUCCUGGAACAUUACUGACGCUAAGGCGUGAAAGCGUGGGGGGCAAACAGGAUUAGAUACCCCUGUAGUC